GUAAUUUACUAAGAAAUUUAGAGUUUGCUUACUGAAACUGUUGUCACGGUCCGGGUGCGCUGCUGGUAAAUUACCACUGAGUUCUAUAUUCUUCGAUGUCCGCCUCUGGGCGGAGCUGUGACCUCCUCACCUGUCCAACUCACCUGGAGCUAAUCUGGGGCAAUCUACUGAGGGUAUUCAAGACCAGUUUUGCUGUCUCUUCGUCAGCUUACCCGGCUCUCUGGUUCCGCCACUCGGACACCGGAUCACACUCACUGGAUUAGUCGCCCAGCUUCACGCUCCCUCUCCCGGCAAAGAUUUUCAAUAGCGAUGGCCAAAUGAAGCUAUCUGAAGCAUUAGAACUUAUGUUGAAAACCUGUUCAUUACUUGAAGCUUUUCACACACAGUCGUGUUUGGUGACAUCUGUUGGCCAAAAAUAUGAAGAGCCGCUGGAAUCUACAGCAAUAAUGAACUGCUUUCUUAUUGAUUGCCUACAUUACAGAGCUGACAGCUUCUGUUUGAUAUCAUGCGAUAUCCAAAUUAUGUUAUGUCUAUUCUAAUAAUAACUAAUUUUGUAUAAUAUGCUAUAACUUCUAUAAUUAUAACUAUAUGUAUCGUCAGUAGCGGUUUUUGAUACGGGCGACACGGGCGGUUGCCCGGGGCGGCAUCAUGGUGGGGGGCGGCAUCACGGGCAUCGGCAAAAAAAAAAAAAAAAAAAAAAAAGAUUACCCGCACUCAUGCUGCCCCGAUAUCAUGCCAGCGCAUAUCGGGAAUGUCGAAGACACCGAUUGGGUUUCCAUCAACCAUUUGCUGGGAGUAAGGGCGCCCUCGGUUUGCGAGGUGCGCCUGCUGCUUGCUGCACAGGGAGGAGAAGGCGGGGCGGCGGGGGAUUCUCUGGCUGGCUGGAGCAGCAUCUAAUAACCAACUCGCAAAAUAAAACAAAAUAAAAACAAACCAACAAACAUGAAAACACCAGACAUUAUGAUGCAGGCUUAUAAUUUGCACCGAUGUUUUUGGUUUUUUUUUUUCAAAAUUCUAUACGCAAAAAGUGAGCGCGGUGCGCCUGCUCGCUGCUGAAGUCAAAGUAAACUUUGUUAUCUCUGCUCAACCCGUUCGCUCUGCAACUGCUACAUACAGUUCAGUGUAUGGAGAGACGAGACGACGUGGCUCCAGUUACAGCAGUGCAAGUAAACAAACAAUAAAUAUGAGAAGAGUAAGAAAAUAAAUAUACACUUUAGGACCAGGGGUAAAGGGAUCAAUAACAAUUUAAAAUUUAUAAUUUACAGUUUGAUGAUUUAAAGCAAGGGCGUAGAUUUGGCAUGGACGGAAGGGACAUGUCCCCACCAAUAAUUUGAUCUCUUCGAGUAAAGAAAAACAAACCGGAUAAAAAGAAAAAGAAAAAAAAACACGAUCUGUCAACGUUUCAUUCACCCAGCGGUGCAGAAAGACUUAAAUUACGAUCUCUACUGGAGUCCUACCUCAUGUGACAAAUAUGGCCAAUGUGAUUGGCUGUGCCUUUCAGGGAGCUCUGUUUAGUUUUAGCAGCUGCAAGCCUGCGCUGCGAGGACCUGCAAGGAGGAGAGGAGGAUGACAGCAAAAACGAAGAACCUGGAUAUAAGAAAGUAUUUUUCAAAGAAACCUGUAAGUCACUUAAAGUCAAGUUCACUCAUAAAAUGUGUCCGUCAUAAUAACGUUACAGGCUAUGCUAGGCUUUGGCCCACAUCAGUCUAAAAUUGUAUGUAACAAUGAAUAACGUGUUUUGGAAACUAACUGCACAACAGUUAGUUUCCAAUCCAAGCUCAUAAAUCCAAGUUCUCUCAGUCUCCCAGAGUAGCAUUUCUAAUUUUGAUUGAAACUGUCAGAGAAAACGGCAGCCUCGAGCAAGCCAGGAUAUUAGUUUACAGAGGCUGUUAAAAUUAUAUGCCUAACGUUAAAAUGUAAAAUGCUUAAAGGUAAAAUGCUGUAUGCCAUGUCCACCACGAGAGACUGGACAGUAUAGAUGUAAAACCAAUAUGCCAGCAGUUUAUCUCAGUUAACGAGAGGAGAAGGCAUGUGUUUGGCUCCUUCACAUAGUGGACGUUUGAGACUUGUGUCAAGCCAGCCUCCAAUUCGAGACUUGCAGUCAAGCCAGCCUCCAGUUGAUUUUACGUUCCCUGUGUAUUCAAAGUAUUACGGGAAUGGAUGUGGAAACCGGAUUUCAAAAUAAAAGCCAACUUCGAGUGAAUUAACAGAUAUGUUAAGAACAUAAUAACAUAUAAUUUAGGCUUUUUUUUUUUUUUUUAGAAACUCUAAUGUUACAUCUACAUGACACAGCCUUGUACCCUAAUUGUGCCCUGUCAAGGCCAUCUUAUUUUGGAUUUCAAAGUAAAAGCCCUGUGAAUCUUCAUUUUUGAACUACUCUUUCAAUGAAUUCAUAAUGCUCUUAAAAGCAAAAGUCGUAUUUCCAAAUACUAUUUGAACUUUGCAUCAACACUUUCCAACCGCAGUCUUUUUCACAGUAAUACCAUAUCAAAUAAAUUCUUUCUGAUUUUGCUUUUCAUAGUAAUGGCCCUUUGAAAUUGCCGAUAUUUGACUUAAUCUCCUAACGAUUCAAAAUGCUCUAAAAUGAAAAAUUCCUGUUUCCACAGGGUAAUUCCACUUUAGAUCAACAGUAUACAACCCCGCAGUGAUACCAUAUCAAUAUCAAGUCAUUCUGAUUUUGCUUUCAAAAAUAAAAGCCUUUUCAAAUUGUCCAUAAUUGACCUACCUUUCAGUGAUUUCAAAAUGCUCUAAAAUGGAAAAUUCCUGUUUCCACAGGGUAAUUCCACUUUAGAUCAACAGUAUACAACCUCACGAUGUUACCAUAUCAAUAUCAAGACAUUCUGAUUUUGCUUUCAAAAAUAAAAGCCCUUUCAAAUUG
ensembl:lncRNA